rnacentral:rRNA from 1 species
GUGUACGGCCAUGCCACCCUGAACAAGCCCGAUGUCUGAUCUUGGUUAGUACUUGGAUGGGAGACCACUCAGGAAGACCAGGUGCUGUAGGCA